rnacentral:rRNA from 1 species
UACAGAGGGGGCAAGCGUUGUUCGGAUUUAUUGGGCGUAAAGAGCUCGUAGGUGGUUCGGUAAGUCGGGUGUUAAACCCCCAGGCUCAACCUGGGGACGCCACUCGAUACUGCUGUGACUAGAGUCCGGUAGGGGAGCGUGGAAUUCCUGGUGUAGCGGUGAAAUGCGCAGAUAUCAGGAGGAACACCAGCGGCGAAGGCGGCGCUCUGGGCCGGUACUGACACUGAGGAGCGAAAGCGUGGGUAGCAAACAGG